GUGCUUGUGCCACCGGCUCAUGUGUCCCCCCUUCUCGCGCCACUUUGGAAGUUGCUCGGCGAAACUAAGGUACAAGGAGUCAUUUAGUCGUCUCAUUUCGUACCGAUAACAUGGAUCACGUUGCGUCAGACAUACCACAGCUUGGACUUCUUUGUCUUGUUUGCGAAUGCUCCAACUGUGGCUCAAAAGCCAAGAAUAUUUUUAACAACCUCCAUUUCCACCAUUGGAUUUUCAACGGUUCCUGCCUGAUGUUAGUCUUUCUAAUGAUAUUUACUGUGAUAGUGUAGUAUCGAUGGCAACGUUUUCCGUUUCUCCGCUUCUAAUGGUGAGUCGCAUGCACUUUUGUCUCUCCUUUUUGUCACUCGAUCAUGUCAUAGGAUGAAAGGUCCGAAUCGGCACGAGUGACUGACUGGUCGUAUUAUGUAGAAUUUUUGCGAGCAUAUUGACCGCGGGUAUUUUUUAUACCCGUGAGUAGCAACAUUUCAUAUCUUUAUUUAUUAGUUCGGGAUAGGUCUUCUUGCACAUCGCGAUUAU